GCGCAGUGGCUUACAUCUGUAAUCUCAGCACUUUGGGAGACUGAGAGAAAAUUAAUUCCAGUUGGUGUUCUGGGCAGAAAUGAAGAGGAGGAGGAAGAAGACAAAGCAGCUUCUCCCCUUUCCUUUGCACUGAGGGCAGGCCCACGCCACUUUCUCUGGUGUGGCCACACCAUCGUCCACACGAUGAAAAGCAGAGGCCCAGGGAGGCUGAAAGACUUUUCUGAAAUCAUCCAGGGAGGAGCAAAGCCAGCCCUGAAUCCCAGGUCUCCAAAUGAUUAAUCCAGAACGCCUUCCACUUCUCUUUUCUGCCACAUGGCCUUAAAACAGAAGACAACCCAGAUGGGACAAACUAGACUGAAUAAAUAUUCAUAAUAUUCUAAUAUUCAUAA
ensembl:lncRNA CPVL-AS1 CPVL antisense RNA 1